rnacentral:lncRNA from 8 species
AUGCAGAAGAUCUACGUGCAGAGUGAUGGGCACUUUGAGGUGUUCACCACUGUCUUCUCCCCACAAGCUUGUAGAGCAAGAACAAGAUACAGGCCUAGGGAAGCAGUGAAGGUGGUAGCAGCAGUCAACUACAGGCCUCAAUGGCCAGAUGAACUUCAACUCUGUCAGGGUGACGUCAUCCAAGUUCUCUACAGAGAUGAGCCGUCGUGGUGGUUUGGGCGUCUACAGAACGGGGCAGAGGGGUACUUUCCAACCGCAUGUGUGACCAGACUGAACCAGAGUGAUGAUCAUGAGCCAGUGAAUGCCAAUCCAAGCUCAUUAUGGAGUUCAUCCAAGGAUGCAGCUCCUGAUGCCCCCUGUGGCUGCACAAGUGGUCGUAGUACUCCAAAGGUCCCCAGGCAUGAGAAAGAGAGCCUCUUCCGGGCCCUGGGACACGAGGCCUCCUCAAAGUCAGGCUCAGCCCACAGCUCCCCCAGCCUGCUGCACCGUGUGCUGUCCAAGGGCCACCGGAGGAAGAUUGACGCCCAGGGACUGGGAGAUGUAAAUUGCUCCAUCAAUGUAGCAUUCGAACCGGACUGAUUGUUUAUCUCUAAGAAUUGUAUUAUGUAUGUGCAGCCCUUUAUUCUGUGUUAGUUUCCAUGGCUGUUAGGUUCAUCAAAACUUCACAAAACCGGAGCUAUUAUAGCUGUCAUAUUUUGGGGUAAUAGUGAAAUAUAGAUCAUAAGCGUGUGACAUGUUGCACUACUUGUUCUGGAGUAUGUUGUUUAUCCUCUAUUUACCAUUGAGAUUAAUGGAGUACAGCAAAGUACAAGUUCUGUCCGUCUACUGUUAAUAGCCAACUGUGAUCCCUUAUUUGUUAGCUGUUUUUACCCCAUUGUUAUUUGCACUGUUGCUUCACUUUAAUUUGUACAUAUUGUAUAUAUUAUAUUUGAAAAAAAUACAUUGUAAUGCUACAUCAUUGUUUGCCUUCUUCAUAGUAUGAUUGAACAUCCUGCCCACCCUGUCUUCAGGCACUCACAAGCAAAACACACUCCUCUACAGUGGGAACUUACUGCAACACAAGCUAAUAGUUUUAGCAUUUUAUUAUUACCAAACUGAGGUACAUGUGCACGAGUUGGCAGUGACUCUAUACAAAGGUGACAUAAACAAUGUGCCAUAUAAAAACUGUGAAAAACAAAUGUGUAUACUUUCUAUUUUAUAGAAAGACCAAAGUGCUGCAUGUACAUUUUUCCCUCCAAACCUAGAAUUAGGAACAGGUUUAAAAAUUAAACUAUAUUACAGGUAAACAAAAUGUUAAAUCAUAUUACAAUAAAUCUUUACACAAAGAUGCAGUACACUUGAAAAUAACUUUGAUUGGAAUAUCCUUCAGUUGCCCUAGUACUCCUAUCAAAUGAAACCUAUUUGAUAUUUAGCUGGAUGUAUUACCUAUAGCUAGCACAGGUUGAUAAAAUACUUCUUAAUGUAGGGUAAAACUAACACACUAUGCUUCAGAAUCAAAUACUGUAGAUCAACACUUGACUUUCUUAAAAUGCCUUACAGAACUUUCUACAUACUGUUUUAUGAUUUCAAAAUUAAAAUCCAUGUUUAAAACCUUGCUAAGAAAGGAAUCAGUUUACAUACCUAUACAUUUACAAUUUGAGUUACCGGUAAGUGAAAUCCUAAUACAUAAAAUAAACUCUUUGGACACCUAAGGAGCAAGUACUUUAACUUAUAUACACCAACCAACUGCCAAAAUGUUUAUUAAAGUAUGUUUGUCCCAGGCAGUGUUUCUCCAAUGGCUUCUGACCCUCAGACGUGCAUGACCUGCUUUGUCUCUGUAGCAGCAGAAUAUGCACACAGUUCCAUGCCACAAAGCCCAACUCCAUCACCCUUAGUUCUUGUUAACAAUAACAGUUAACAGUACAUUCAAUUAUAACAAAAUGUGUAUGCUACAUCCAAAGGAAUACACAAA